CAGCUGUUUGCAGCACACAGACUAAAAUUGGAACGAUACGGAGAAGAUUAGCAUGGCCCCUGCGCAGGGAUGACAUGCAAACUCGUGACGCCUUCCAUAUUUUU